GCGCGCGGGGGGAGAGGGGCCAGAGUCCCUGGGCCUGGCUGGGAGCGGGGCGACUCUGAGAGGAAGGACCGCAGCGCCCCUUGGGGCUUCCCGAGGAGCCCAGGACUCCAAGGGCUCCAGCAUCACCCAGCUUGACUUCUGCUCACUCUCAGGCACCAACAUCAAGCCUGGUUUGGAGAUUCUCUUGUGUCUGCAGCUGGGAGAACAAGAAGAACAGCCCAUGUAUUUUCUUCUCCAGCAUCACUGUUUCUGUCAUGGUGUCAAUAAGUUAUUCUACCUCAUGCAGAAGUACAAUGCUCCUUCAUUAAGUGAGAUUAGAUUGAAGACUGGCAAGAGCAGAUGCAAGGAAAGGCUUGAUGAUACUCCCACCACUGAUCUGCUUUAAUCAAAAGACAUCCUCAUGCACUUACUUCCCGCCACUGAGGACUGAGUCUACACCAAAGGAACACCUCUAGAUGAACCAUCUGCUGCCAGCACCCUGUACUCAUGCCAUCGGCUUCCUGGUCACUUGCCUCCUUCCACUUGAAAUCAAGUACUGUAUCCUUCAUCUGUAGCCAUUGGACAUAGAGAUGUACUACAUAAUUGCGAGUGGACUGGAUCAAAUUCAUGCUUUUACUGGUUAUGAACCUGAGAUUUAGAGAGAUUAAAUGACCUGCUUAAAUAAUACAGCUGGGAAAUGGCUAAGUCUACAACACGAAUCUGACACAUUUCUUUUCUCUGCAAUCUUAUGGAUUUAUGUGUUCUUGAAAAUUGCUUUACUAUCAUAAUUGAGGUUUCUGAAGACAACAGGAGUAAAUGCUUAUGCUUUCUCCUCUGUCAUGUAGAGAUCCCAAAAUGUUAUCCUUCAUGGUGAAGCAUUCACAAGGACCACUUUACCAUGGCAACAGCAUCACCUUCCAUCGUUGUCUUGAAGAAAAUUUCCCAGAAACUUGAUCGGAAUACAUGAGGAUUUGGAAUUGAUUUGAUGGGCCCUUUCACCAUGCUGUUUCUGCUCUGGAUCCAGCCUCCUGUAGACUAACCUAGAAGCCAGACAAACCUCUCUUCCAUUAAGAAUGGGUAUCAGGUAUUGUGUCCCAGAAAUGAGAAGGUGACUAAGACGAUGUAUCAAAUCAUGCUGAUGGCCCACUGAAUAGUCACCUGUUGGAUGAGAUCAGGAGAGGAGAAACAACAAUUCUGAGAGGACAGAAGGUAAAUAACAGUCACGACAACCGUGUGAGGCUUUCUGGAAAUUCUGCCAUCGCUGGGUCAGGAGUACCAUCAGAGAUGUGCAUGCUUCCACUUCUAUACGUGAGACCCAGUUGCCCGACUUUUCUGCCAUGAGUUUAUUUGCUUCUAGAAACUGUGCUGGCAGUGGGAGUAGACGUUAUAGCACGCCUGCUUCUGCACAGCUUGUCGCACAGCUUGUCCUCCCCACCUUCCCUUCCUCUUUUUGCCCUCUCUGAGCUUCAUUGUCUGUCCUCAUUCAUUUCUCCAAGUUUCUCCAAUUUAUACAUUUAUCUCCCAUCCGCUCUUCCUUUUCCGCAUCCUCUAUAAAGACAACUGUUCCCCUAAACUCAGUGUCAUUGGCAGAAGCAGCAUCUACGGAAAGGGAGGAAAGAGGGGCAUGGCUGAGACUUAUUUAGCACUUAAAUGCCAUUAAAGUUAAGAUCAGAUUAGGAAAGCAAGGUACAGAGAACCUGAUGUUUGGAAAAGAAGAGCUCUAGUAAAUUGACUUGAGGAUUAAGGGUGAAGUGGCUUCUGUUUGGUUUUUUUUUUUACCAACAGCAAUUGAGUAUCCAAGGCAAGAGUUUCAGAACCAAAUGAUUAAUUCAGAGGACAUCAAGAAAUCCCUUGAUGGAUGGCACCUUGAUCUACUAUAAUAGCCCCAGGGGUGUAGUUGAAAAUGCUUUAUAAAAGGGCCAACAAAUCCAGGAGUAUUACAUAGGUAACAUUUUUUUACUAUCUCAAAACACAUUUACAUUGGGUGAACUACACCCUAAAAAGGCCAUCUCCUCAGCUCAUGAGAUGUUGCUGCUUGUGCUUGUGCUUGUGAGUAGAAGGGCAUUUCCAUUUCUCCAACAGCAAAAGCCAUAUUUCUUUCAAUAUUAAGGUUAAUGAGGGCUGGGGCUCUGUAAUCUACAUGAGUAGGUUAAUUCUCAUAUGUCCUAGAUAGUUGUGAGAGGAGGAGAUUUAGAACUUCAGCUGAAGGGAGAUGUAUGCCCUGCCAAACUGGAAACAAAUGCUUACUAUGACAGCAAGGAAAGUUCUCCGUGGCAAGAUCUCUGGGAAUCUGCUUUUCCAUCUACACAGUGCAGAUACCAGACACAGCCCCACUUCUCCUGGGUGCCAAUGAGAGAUCCCAGCUCACGGGCUUUACAAGCCUUUGGUGGAAAGCAGUUACAUGAGUCAAGCAUUGGUUGUGAUAACAGAAAGAGUUCAUCAGAAACUAACCAAGCUGCUAUCAUAUUCCUGGGAGGACACAGUUGUCCAGGGUGAUUUUCAGAAGAGGGGGUACAGUUACAGUCGAUCUUCUGUCCUGUUGUCGAGGGUAUGGAGGUGCAAGACACUAUGAAAAAUGUCUUCAUCCUCACGGUUGAAAGUGCCAUUUCAAAGCUUCAAAACAUUACAACUGAGCAAGACUAUUUCAUCUUGUUUUAUUUCAAAUAACAUAUUUUUCCCAAAGGCAAAGAAAGGACUGUGAUCCUUAACAUGACUUUCUUCCCCAUUCAAGACUUCCUUCCAUAGUGUUGUGAUGGAAAAGGUGAGGGGGAGGAAGGCAGUAAGGCUACAAGCCCAGAGAGACUUCUAUGGUUUAAUUCAUGUGGCUGUCCUCACUGUUACUCAUAAAUAUCUAGAGGCUUUCUUGUUUUUUUUUUCUUCCUUUCUCUUUCCUUCCUUCCUUCCGUGUGUCUUCCUUCCUCUCUUCUUUCCUCCCGCUCCCUCCCCCUUCUUUCUUUGUUUCUGCAGUCCCGGGGAUUGAAACUUUUCAGUAAGCUACAUCUGUAGCCCUUUUUAUUUUUUAUUUUGAGACAAGUUCUUGCUGUCAUUAAAUUGUCUAGCCAGAGCAUAAGCUUAUGAUCCUCCUUCCUUAGCUUCUUUUUUGUUCUUUUUAUUGAGUUUAUUGGUACAAUCAA